UAGUCUCGUUUUUAUAGUGGAGGGUAAGGGUUAGUGGUAAGGGUUUACCAGUCUAGUUUUUAUAGUGGAGGGUAAGGGUUUACCAGUCUCAUUCUUAUAGUGGAGGGUAAGGGUUAGUGGUAAGGGUUUACCAGUCUAGUUUUCAUAGUGGAGGGUAAGAGUUAGUGGUAAGGGUUUACCAGUCUAGUUUUCAUAGUGGAGGGUAAGGGUUAGUGGUGAGGGUUUACCAGUCUAGUUUUCAUAGUGGAGGGUUAGUGGUGAGGGUUUACCAGUCUAGUUUUCAUAGUGGAGGGUUAGUGGUGAGGGGUUUACCAGUCUAGUUUUCGUAGUGGAGGGUUAGUGGUGAGGGGUUUACCAGUCUAGUUUUCAUAGUGAAGGGUUAGUGGUGAGGGUUUUACCAGUCUAGUUUUCAUAGUGGAGGAUAAGGGUUAGUGGUGAGGGUUUACCAGUCUAGUUUUCGUAGUGGAGGGUUAGUGGUGAGGGUUUUACCAGUCUAGUUUUCAUAGUGGAGGGUAAGAGUUAGUGGUAAGGGUUUACCAGUCUAG
rnacentral:lncRNA from 1 species